rnacentral:rRNA from 1 species
CAUUAUUGUAUAACCGAGGUGGCAAGGGCUGUCGCUGACCUUUCAAAGGUUGUGCACGCCCAAGCACGCUCUCACACAUCCAUCUCACCCCUUUUGUGCAUCACCGCGUAGGCCCUCCCUUUGCAAGGAGGGCUUGCGUUUUCACAUAAAAACUUUUGAUACAGUAUAGAAUGUUCUUUUUUAUUUUGCGGUCACACGCAAUCAAUACAACUUUCAACAACGGAUCUCUUGGCUCUCGCAUCGAUGAAGAACGCAGCGAAAUGCGAUACGUAAUGUGAAUUGCAGAAUUCAGUGAAUCAUCGAAUCUUUGAACGCACCUUGCGCCCCUUGGCAUUCCGAGGGGCACACCCGUUUGAGUGUCGUGAAAUCAUCAAAAACCCUUUUUCUUUGAAAAGGAUUUUUGGACUUGGAGGUUCCAUGCUUGCCUUUGCCUUUGAAGGUGAGCUCCUCUCAAAUAAAUUAGUGGGGUCCGCUUUGCUGAUCCUUAAUGUGAUAAGAUGUUUCUACAUUUUGGAUUUAAACCACUGUCCCUUGGAUGCCUGCUCCUAACUGUCUUUUGGACNAAUGAUGGUGCUCCGGUCAUCGCCAUCUACAUUGGCGAGAGGCUGGACCCACAAAAAAAAACCUUGACCUCAAAUCGGGUGAGACUACCCGCUGA